rnacentral:rRNA from 1 species
CUACGGGCCGCUCCAGUGAGGAAUAUUGCACAAUGGGGGGAACCCUGAUGCAGCAACGCCGCGUGGAGGAUGACGCAUUUCGGUGUGUAAACUCCUUUUAUAUGUCAAGAAAAUGACGGUAGCAUAUGAAUAAGCACCGGCUAACUCCGUGCCAGCAGCCGCGGUAAUACGGAGGGUGCAAGCGUUACUCGGAAUCACUGGGCGUAAAGGACGCGUAGGCGGGUUGGAAAGUCAGGUGUGAAAUCCUACAGCUUAACUGUAGAACUGCACUUGAAACUUCUAAUCUAGAGUAUGGGAGGGGGAGAUGGAAUUAGUGGUGUAGGGGUAAAAUCCGUAGAUAUCACUAGGAAUACCUAAAGCGAAGGCGAUCUCCUGGAACAUUACUGACGCUAAGGCGUGAAAGCGUGGGGAGCAAACAGGAUUAGAUACCCUCGUAGUC